GAUUGGGUACGUCUGCCUCAGGUGAGAUCAGGUCAUCAGAGAACACGUACUUCUGCCAGGCAGCACGCCAGCUGUCGUGUGUGCCGUCAUCCCAGCUUUGUGUGAAACUCGCCAGUGGAGGAGACCCAACCUACGCCUUUAACAUCCGCUUCACUGGAGAGGAAGUUCAUGGCACAAGUGGCUCUUUUAGACACUUCCUGUGGCAGGUGUGUAAGGAGUUGCAGAGUUCUGCACUUUCCCUGCUGCUCCCCUGUCCCAGUGCUGCAGCCAAUCGUAAUAAGGGGAAAUAUAUCCUCACUCCUUGCCCCAUCAGCUAUGCAGAGGAACAGUUACUUCACUUUUUUGGCCAACUACU